rfam:Lupinus angustifolius cultivar Tanjil chromosome LG09, whole genome shotgun sequence.
AGGUGCGGUUUUACGAGCACUAAUGCACUGAAUCCCAUCAUAACUCCGUAGCUAAGCGUGCUUUUGCGAGAGUAGUACUAGGAUGGGUGACCUCCCGGGAAGUCCUCGUGUUGCACCUC